GGCGGCUUCAGGUUGCAUGGUGUCCGCGGCGCUCGGUUUACGCCGCGGGUGAAACGGGAAACGGGUGCGCGCAGACGUCGAACAGCGUCGGCGCAAGGCCCGUACUGCCCCCGCAACGGUAAGCGAGCGGGGCGUUCCAACAGGCCACUGCGCGGCACCGCAACGGUGCGCGCGGGAAGGCGGGGCGUCCCAGGGGAUUCGACCCUCUCGCGAGUCCGGAGACCGGCCAUGCAGCGUCAUCGUCA
rfam:Betaproteobacteria bacterium SG8_39 WOR_8-12_1301, whole genome shotgun sequence.